ensembl:snRNA U1 U1 spliceosomal RNA
AUACUUACCAGACAGGGGAGAUAUCGUGAUCAAGAAGGCGGUUCACCCAGGGCGAGGCUCAGCCAUUGCUCUUCAGCUGUGCUGACCCCUGCGAAUUCCCCAAAUGUGGGAAUCUCGACUGCAUAAUGUGGGAAUC